rnacentral:rRNA from 1 species
CCUACGGGUGGCAGCAGUAGGGAAUUUUCGUCAAUGGGCGCAAGCCUGAACGAGCGAUGCCGCGUGAGUGAAGAAGGCCUUCGGGUCGUAAAGCUCUGUUGCGGGGGAAAAAAGGCAGCAUCAGGAAAUGGGUGCUGACUGAUGGUGCCCCGCCAGAAAGUCACGGCUAACUACGUGCCAGCCGCCGCGGGAAUACGUAGGGGGCGAGCCUUAUCCGGAAUGGUUGGGCGUAAAGGGGUCGCAGGCGGUCCUGCAAGUCUCGAGGGAAACGUAUGAGGUCAACUCAUGCAUUGCCUUGGAAACUGGAGGACUGGAGAGCGGGAGAGGGAUGUGGAACUCGAGGUGUAGCGGUAAAAUGCGUAGAUA